GACGGAGGAUGCAAGUGUUAUCCGGAAUCACUGGGCGUAAAGCGUCUGUAGGUUGUUUAAAAAGUCUGCAGUUAAAGGUUGAAGCUUAACUUCAAAAAUGCCGUAGAAACUUUUAAACUAGAGGAUGGUAGGGGUAGAGGGAAUUUCCAGUGGAGCGGUAGAAAUGUGUAGAUAUUGGAAAGACCACCGAGCGAGGAGACUCUACUGGGCCAUGACUGACACUGAGAGACGAAAGCUAGGGGAGCAAAUGGG
rnacentral:rRNA from 1 species